rnacentral:rRNA from 1 species
UACGUAGGGGCAAGCGUUGUCCGGAAUUAUUGGGCGUAAAGAGCGCGUAGGCGGUCCGAUAAGUCGGCUGUGAAAGUCAGGGGCUCAACCCUUGGAAGCCGGCCGAUACUGUCGGACUAGAGUCCGGAAGAGGCGAGUGGAAUUCCCGGUGUAGCGGUGAAAUGCGCAGAUAUCGGGAGGAACACCAAUGGCGAAGGCAGCUCGCUGGGACGGUACUGACGCUGAGGCGCGAAAGCGUGGGGAGCAAACAGGG